UACAGAGGGUGCAAGCGUUGUUCGGAAUUACUGGGCGUAAAGGGCGCGUAGGCGGUUCGAUAAGUCCCGUGUGAAAUCCCUCGGCUCAACUGAGGAAUGGCACGGGAAACUGACGGGCUUGAGUUCGGGAGAGGGAAGCGGAAUUCCGGGUGUAGCGGUGAAAUGCGUAGAUAUCCGGAGGAACACCGGUGGCGAAGGCGGCUUCCUGGACCGACACUGACGCUGAGGCGCGAAAGCUAGGGGAGCAAACGGG
rnacentral:rRNA from 1 species